UACGGAGGGGGCAAGCGUUGUUCGGAAUUACUGGGCGUAAAGGGCGUGUAGGCGGCCAUUCAAGUCAGACGUGAAAGACCUGGGCUUAACCGAGGAUGUGCGUAUGAUACUGGAAGGCUUGAGAUCGGGAGAGGAAAGUAGAAUUCCUAGUGUAGAGGUGAAAUUCGUAGAUAUUAGGAGGAAUACCAGUGGCGAAGGCGGCUUUCUGGACCGAAUCUGACGCUGAGGCGCGAAAGCGUGGGGAGCAAACAGGAUUAGAUACCCUGGUAGUCCACGCUGUAAACGAUGAGUGCUAGGUGUUGGGGGGUAACCUUCAGUACCGUAGCUAACGUGAUAAGCACUCCGCCUGGGAAGUACGGUCGCAAGAUUA
rnacentral:rRNA from 1 species